rnacentral:rRNA from 1 species
GAGUGAAGCGGCAACAGCUCAAAUUUGAAAUCUGGGUCCGAGUUGUAAUUUGCAGAGGGCGCUUUGGCUUUGGCCGGUCCAAGUUCCUUGGAACAGGACGUCACAGAGGGUGAGAAUCCCGUACGGUCGCUAGCUUGCCGUGUAAAGCCCCUUCGACGAGUCGAGUUGUUUGGGAAUGCAGCUCUAAAUGGGAGGUAAAUUUCUUCUAAAGCUAAAUAUUGGCCAGAGACCGAUAGCGCACAAGUAGAGUGAUCGAAAGAUGAAAAGCACUUUGGAAAGAGAGUCAAACAGCACGUGAAAUUGUUGAAAGGGAAGCGCUUGCAGCCAGACUUGCUUGCAGGCUCAUCCGGGCUUUUGCCCGGUGCACUCUUGCAGCAGGCCAGCAUCAGUUUGGGCGGUGGGAUAAGGUCUCUGACACGUUCCUUCGUUGGCCAUAUAGGGGAGACGAUACCCCAGCCUGGACUGAGGUCCGCGCUGCUAGGAUGCUGGCGUAAUGGCUGUAAGCGGCCCGUCUUGAAACACGGACCAAGGAGUCUAACAUCUAUGCGAGUGUUUGGGUGUCAAGCCCGAGCGCGUAAUGAAAGUGAACGGAGGUGGGAACGGUGCACCAUCGACCGAUCCUGAAGUUUACGGAAGGAUUUGAGUAAGAGCAUGGCUGUUGGGACCCGAAAGAUGGUGAACUAUGCUUGAAUAGGGUGAAGCCAGAGGAAACUCUGGUGGAGGCUCGCAGCGGUUCUGACGUGCAAAUCGAUCGUCAAAUUUGGGCAUAGGGGCGAAAGACUAAUCGAACUAUCUAGUAGCUGGUUCCUGCCGAAGUUUCCCUCAGGAUAGCAGUAACGUUUCAGUUUUAUGAGGUAAAGCGAUGAUUAGAGGCAUGGGGGUUGAAACAACCUUCACCUAUUCUCAAACUUUAAAUAUGUAAGAAGCCUUGUUACUUAAUUGAACGCGGGCAUUUGAAUGAAACGUAUUAGUGGGCCAUUUUUGGUAAGCAGAACUGGCGAUGCGGGAUGAACCGAACGAGGGGUUACGGUGCCGGAGACGCUCAUCAGACACCACAAAAGGUGUUGGUUCAUCUAGACAGCAGGACGGUGGCCAUGGAAGUCGGAAUCCGCUAAGGAGUGUGUAACAACUCACCUGCCGAAUGAACUAGCCCUGAAAAUGGAUGGCGCUAGCGUGUCACCUAUCCCCUCCGCCGGGGCAAAAUUUACGCCCCGGCGAGUAGG